CUGGGAAACUGUCGUCGGCCACCGUCUCGCUUACUUUUUAGCGGGCUUUGACCGUGGGUCGGAGCAACCUUGAGCGAUGGAGCUGUUAACCAGAGUUGGGUCCUUCUCGGUGAGCACAGCCGGCGGGCUUGGGGAAGUGUUGGGGAGCCGUUUGUGAGCCGGCUGAUACGUACCGGAGGCGCCUGGCUUGGCGUCCCCGGGCCUUCGCCUUGGGGCUGCCCUUAAGCUGAACCCUGCGGGCCAAGCGGGCGGCUGCUGGCUGGGUGGGUCGGGCUCUGGAGGCCCCUCUCGUGCUCUGAACGGAAGAAGCCGAACACCGGAAAACCUGAAUAGAUGGAAAGGGCUUGAGAGCGGAGGUGAGGCGGCUAGGUGGAGAGACCUCUGAAGGUCACUGCUGCACUUGGGUUCCGAAGCGAUCGCGAGGAGGGGGCCGCCGGACCUAGCCCUCAACUCUUAGCCCAUCCGCUGCGUCCUAUGCUUCUGGGGCCGUUAGUUUCCCCAACGCUUAAGUGGGCUUAUGAUCAAAAUUAUAAGAAAUGAGCUAAGGCCUGUAUAGUAACCCUUACCACUAUGUCUGGAACUUGAUUAUUAUAACGGUGACCUCGCAGAAUAAUGUGUGCUUUCUCGAUCACUUGUUCCUCUAGGGGGUCUCGGUGUGCUCUCAAGAACUACUUAAGGCUCCUCCUUCAAGCCCAAGUGAAACAAACAUAGCUGCCACUUCGGGGAAAUGCUGUAGAUGUCAGCGUAUGUUCUCGUGGAGUGGUGUUGAUCAGAGGGAGAUGGGGAACACUUAAAAAUCUCAGAGAUUUUAUUCCCUCAAAGUUGCUCCCAAAUUAAAGCCACGGUUGCCCCUUCAGGAGCACCUGCACAUCCUCAGGACAUUGAGUUUACCAGAUUACCAAACGGCUUAGUGAUUGCUUCUCUGGAAAACUAUGCUUCUUUGUCAAGAAUUGGUUUGUUCAUUAAAGCAGGCAGUAGAUACGAGGACUCCAAUAAUUUGGGAACCUCUCAUAUGCUUCGUCUUGCAUCCAGUUUGACUACAAAAGGAGCUUCAUCUUUCAAGAUAACCUGAGGAAUUGAAGCAGUUGGUGGUAAAUUAAGUGUGACUUCAACAAGGGAAAACAUGGCUUACACUGUGGAAUGCCUGCGGGAUGAUAUUGAUAUCCUAAUGGAGUUCCUUCUCAAUGUUACCACGGCACCAGAAUUUCGUCGUUGGGAAGUAGCUGCUAUUCAGUCUCAGCUAAGGAUCGACAAAGCUGUUGCUUUUCAGAAUCCACAGGCUCAUCACUGAGCCCUGGGAAGAUGCAAAUUUUCAGCAGGAAAUCAAUCAAGAUGCUGAUGGGAGGAAGAGAGAGGCCUCCUGGGAGGAAAAUCUUCUAGAAUGAGAUGGAACGUCAUGUCAUGCUCCUGGGAUCUGAAGGUACCCAGGAGUCUGUGGAGAAUAAAAAGGAACCAGAGUUUUUCCAGAUUCUGUCCCUUCCUAAGGCACUACCUGAAUUUUCAGAUGGUUUAAUUCAAAUCUCCCCUGAGGUAGAAGUUGGAGGUCCUGGUUUUUCAUGCAUUUGGUUGCCACAAUCUAGAACCAUUUGAAACUGGGUUAAGAGACUCAGAUUGGGAGGGAACUAUUUUAACAAGAUGAAAUUAGAGCCAUAGGAUUGUAAUAGAUAGCCUAUCAUAUGCCAAAAACAGCACACAUUUUGUAAAUGUUUAUUUUGAACAUGUUACCUGAAGAAUUAUAUUUAUUUUUAUAUUCUCUACUUACACACUUAUUUUAAAUAGUUUUGAAAGAGUCAUGAUUUGAAAAGAUGCUGUUCUUACAAAGUUUUGUGAUAAACAAUUGUCACUGUUACAUAUACAUACAUAAAGUUUUUGUUUCCAUUUUGCAGGAGAGGUUUCUGUGUUUUUUUCUCUUAUAUUUACAUAAUAUAUCAUUUAUGCUUACAGCGAGGUGGGUAGUUCUCUCAAGUUCCUGUAAAUACAUAUUUUUAUGUUUAGUCUUCAUUAUUAAUUUGUAAGAAUUCAGUUGUACUUUUUUAAAACUUGCCUUGAAGACUUGUUUGUAUGUUGUUUUACAUUAUGAAAGAGGGUCAUGCAGAGCAUCUGCGGGGAAAUGUAAUAAAGCUGGGAGUCUUCUCAACAUCAUAA